CCCGACUGCUAUCGGAUUGGGAUUUAGCCAUGUUAGUUGCGCGUUUCUUGGCCAUUCAGGAGACGCAGCGUACGGCUCAGUAACACGUAGUCAACCUACCCUGGAGACGUGGACAAACCCGGGAAACUGGGGCUAAUCCACGAUGGGUGAUGUCAUCUGGAAGGAGACAUCGCCUAAAGGGUGGCGCGGGAAUGCUCCGCGUCAAGCGCUCCAGGAUGGGACUGCGGCCGAUCAGGCUGUUGGCGGGGUAAUGGCCCACCAAACCUGUAACCGGUACGGGCUUUGAGAGAAGGAGCCCGGAGAUGGACACUGAGACAAGGGUCCAGGCCCUACGGGGCGCAUCAGGCGCGAAACCUUCGCAAUGCGCGAAAGCGUGACGAGGCUAGUCCGAGUGCCGCCCGCUGAGGGUGGCUUNUCCCGGUUGUAAAUAGGCCGGGGAAUAAGGGGAGGGCAAGUCUGGUGU
rnacentral:rRNA from 1 species